ensembl:lncRNA
CUCGCGGCGCUCGUCCCCGCGGCCCGGGCGGCAGCUCGGGGUCCUUCAGGGACGGUGUCGCGCUCUGCGGCUCUGCUCCCGUCAGAGGCUCGCAGACGUCGUCGCCGUCCUGUUGAUACCGUUAACGCUCUGAGCUUCAGUUAACGAUUGCCCCUUCCUCCUCCGGUGCGGUCUGUGCUCCAUCCUAACGCUGCCGUCACACCGCCGGUUUCGUGCGUUUGACCCGGGAGCUUGCCGCUGGGCGAGGCCUACGGGUCGGUUCAGAGACGCCGCAGACUCAAAGCACGGAUCCGGGCAGGGCACGCGGCUCUCUGCAGGGGGGAUGCCGGCCUACAGUGCUGGCUCCGCGCAGCCGGCGCAGGAAGCGGGCAGCGGGCCCAGCUCCGCCAGCGGCUGUUACCUGGGCGGGUGGCCUUAAGGCCCCGCGCCAUCGUCCUCACGCUCAGUGUGUGCGUGGUGGAGGAGAGCACGCAGGAAGGAGGGCAGAGCGGCCCCCCUGCCCUGAAGAGAACGGUUUUGCUCACCUGUUCUGCGGUUCCUGUGCCAUUGUGGCCCUGAAUGUUUUUCCCACAAGUACCUGCACGCUGCUUCCCACACCUCUCACUCCGGCAGUCAUUCGCUCUCUCCUCUCCUCGCCUGCUAUUAUAUCCCUCUUAACGGACGUAGGCACAGACAGUAAAACUCCCCUUUUUCCUCUAGAUCACAACGAAUACAACAAAAUAAAGCGAAAUAAUUCAAACCUUAAAUGUUUUCCCCUUGAGACUUCUACGCGGACAUCUCAGCGCGAGGUGAGAUGUUCUUGGGUUUAGAAAGAUGCAGGGAAAUCACAGUGCUGAAUGCAGCAGAAGGAAAGCUGAGGUUCCACAGGGGUGUUUCAGCACAGCUCCGGGGCGUUCCCCGGGUCCCACACAGCCCUGUCAGCGCACGAUGACUCAAAAGAAGAUAGAACAAUUAAUGCUCAUUUUUACUGUUUCAACCGAUUAUUUCUGGCUUGAGAUAGUGCAGAAGUUACUCACAGUGCAUAGGGCUCUGUGCCUCCCUUCAUUGCUACCCAAACAGCAAUGUCCUAUUGACCUAUUGGCAGUUGUGAAUCACGGAACUUGAUUUUUUGUUAAACGUGCCACCAUAUCGCACCGACUCGUAACAAUAAAAGUCUUGGCAGUAACGGGUGCAGGGAGAAUCGACACUGCUCUAAAGAGUAAGUGAGAAAGGGAAGAGCGGAAAGGCCAGUUCCACGGCAUGAAGGACUGCAGGAGGGGAACCGGCACAGCCCCACUGGUACUGCCCGGUGCUGCUCACGUGCACAAGCAUGCCUGCUCCCCAGCCAGCUGCUCCCCUCUUACUGGGAGCAGAGAAGAGGUGACUGGGGCAUUUGCUAACUUGGUGCUGUACACAUAGCUUACACACAGAAGUCAGUCGCCAAACUGCCGCUGCUCAUUACGAUAUUUGGUAAUUUACAGGCACCCGGCUAUGCUGCCAACGGUGGACAGAAGUCAGAAACAGAGUGGCAUCUAGCUGCCCAGCAGAACAGCACUGGAGGAUUGCGGCACUGGCUGCUACACAGGCCCGUAUUUAAAUACAGUCUAUAAAAAACUGCAAGAGUGCAUACUUGGAAGAGGUGACGCUAGGACAGCGCUCAUAGCCAAGCCACAAAGGAAAAUUUAUUUGCAUUAAAAGGGGAGGUUUGGGACACACACAAAAAAGCAGGAGCAGCAGCGGCUUAAGUGUCUGAAAGCCAGAGCUAUUUACUUAAUUAAAGAAUCCUUCCACCCAUACAAAGUAUUCUCAUUAUGGGAGACAAAAAAAUCAAGCUGAUCCUCAGGCACUGCAGCAGGAAAAAAAUACACUACAGCCUUGCAGCAGCAGCUGGGGACCCUAUCACCGUACUACGUCCACUGCACUGCUUGCCAACAUCCACACCGCCGUGUCAGUCAGGUGGAAAAGUCACACAUGCGUGGAGUUUGCUGCACAGCAGCCCAGGACAUUUGAGAAGUAGUGCAGCAAGCGCAGAGUGAGCUACAGGCUCACUCCCAAACCUCGCGUAGUCCAGAUGUACCACUAAUUUUCUGUGUUCCUAAUUAAUGAAUCAAGAUCUCCCCCCCCCCCUCCCACUGGAAUUAUUCUCUGCCAUUCUAAGAGCACAGUCUGUGCGUAAGUGUAGUGAAUGAGAUCCUUCUAUCUAGGGGAAGUGUUGCUCUGCAAUUUUUAGCUAUCUAAUCAGCCAAAGUGCUAAUCCAUACCUGGAUUUUUGAUAGCUUAUUAAUUAGCUAUAAAUUCCUGCGCUGAAUUGCUUCCCCACUCCCCUAAGAAUACAAUUACAUGGCUUGUAGAUGAUAUGUUAUAUGAUACCAUUCCAUUCGAAAACAUUUGCAGAUAUUAACUGCAGAGUAAGAAAAGAAUUGGUCUUAGAAGGCCAUAAAGCCCAGCAAUUAAAAACUAAUUAGAACUGAAACAAUGAGCCUUUUAUUAGAUCCAAGUUCAAAAAAGAUCCAACGGUAAAUUCCAGUGUACUAUUUCAGUCCAAGUGUGAAUCACGACUUGUGGCAUAAAGGGGAAUAAAGCAUUUUCUUUGAGCAGCCACACCCCUUACGAUUGGCAAUGGAAGAAAGAUUAUGAGAAGGAUGAAAAGGUUGCCCAAGGUGACUUGGCAGCUCCAAGCUUUUGUCUCAGUUUUUCUGUGGGAAAUCGCUGCUUCCUGGGCCUGUACAGCUCCCUCUCACUAUCUCAGCUACCUCACACCAAGCAGACUCUGCUCGCAGUGAAGAUGAAGGUGUUUUGGUGACACUGGCGUGUCACACGUCCUGCAGCCCAGUGGGGUUGCAACGCCUUGCCCUGCCAGCAUACAGCUUACGGUGCUGGCAUUCAGCACACAAGUCCAGGUACGACUGAGUUGCACUGAAAAGUUAGACUGUGCCUUUCCACAUUGCAUGUAGGUUUUUCUUUUCCUUUCUUUAUUAUUUUACACAAACACAUUUUUCUAAUGAAAACUCCAGGUUCACUGACACCGUUCUUUUCACACCAACAUUCUCAGCAGGUAAUCACAUCCAAGUCACCAUCUUACAUUUCUUUUUUUACCAAAAUUUGGUGUCAAAAUCCUUUCUGAGUGACACUCUGCUAGACAAUAGCCAAACCUACCGCGGCACAGACAGCACGCCAUCACCUCGUGCACUCACUGGGCAGAACUGAGUUUGCUGGAGCAAACUUUGUACCCAUCUACAGUGUGAUCAGGAAAAAAAGAUACGAGAACAUUAGAGGAGUGAGAAGAAAGGAAAAAGGCAAACCCUAAGGUCUUCAUCACUGUGUGAAACAACGGAAAAAUGGAAAAGAACAGGCCAUUGACAAAGAGACCCAUUCACACCAAAGGCAGCAAUGAACAAAGGGCAAAUGAAGGUGGAAAAAGAAAGUCACUCACAGAAAAUGUUUUAACUUUGAGGUUAGAAAUAAAUGGUCCUGUGACAUACUUUGGAAAUUCUGUGAUUCUGCAGGAAAGAAAAAAAAAGUCAUUAAAAACUUAAAACUGAACUGAAUUCUUCCCCCUUGGUAGAUGAUCAGCAAUCUAGGACACUACAGUACAGCUUAACUGCAUGCAGACUCCCCUCUUAAUAGCUCGCAUUUAUUUUAAGACAGGCAGUUCCAUUGCCUACUUUUUCUGUGCCUUUACCAGCACUUGGCACAUGGACACAGCAGCUGCCUGAAGCAGGAGUUGGUGAAGCCACGGCAAUACUGGGAGAAGGGGAAACCAUAGAACAUGACGCAACUUGUAGCUGGUCAUCACUGAGAGCAGCCUCAGUGUGUGAGAUUCACUUGGCAGAGCAAGAGCUCUUCCACAUACUGGGACCUUUUUUUAAUUCCUUGCUAUCUAACCUUGCAUAGAGGUUAGACAUUGCUAUUUCAUGCACAGAAUAGUAAACACAUCAUAGAAAAAUUUACCAAGGUAGGCAAUGAAGGGAGGAGAUCAAAGCAUGUAUUAGGUUUAAGCACAUUUUACUAAUACCAACGUGUUCAUGCCUGGAUGCUCCAAGUGACCUGAGUUUCUUCUCACUUCCCAGUGCAGGACAAGGGAGGUGUGCUGUAGCGAUGUGCAGAUCCUGUCAGUGGAUGAAUGUACAGCUGAAAAAUACUCUCAGAAAGAGGAAUAGGACUGUUGUGUUAAUGCAAGGCAUAGGAUGAAGUGGAAACACGAAGCACCAAAUGUUGUGGUCUAUUUUCAGCUCUUAGGAACAAGGGAAUUCUGCGUGUGACAGUCCUCCCCCAUUCAAUCCCACUUCUUCUGACUCCACUAUGGUGCUGCUCUGAUCCCUGCAUCCAAAGCCUCAAGCAAAGCACUUCAGAGAAGAUCAGCCUGCAGAAGUGGCACCAAGGUAAUUGUCAGGGGCAUCUCUGUACUGCUAUCCUGGUACAGCUCUGUACUGGUCCUUGCAGCCGCAGUACGGCCAGCGUGGUAAGGAUGUAUAUCACUGUACAGAUGUUAUUUAAAAUAUCAACGAUACCUUGGUCACUCCAAAGUGGAGAGAUGCCCUGGGAGUAGGGUGGGGUAGUGUCAGCAAAACCACCUUUGUUUUUGUACAGCUACCUGAAAAUACAUCAGCACGUCAGCAGAAGUUAUAAGGGCCCAAUGAUGGAUUUACCUAGAACAAUGAUGUUUCAUUGCAGAGCUACAGCAUUUCAGUGUAGAAGUAUACAUGUUUUCAUGCAGAACUACUCCUGUUAGUUCCUAUAGAACAGUAACCCUUCCUACUUGCAGCUUUUUGCAGCAUUUUAAUUGCUAUUGCAUUACAGAGAUGAAGUGUCUGCUGUAUGACUGUAAAUACAGCUGGUAUUGCAGUGCUUGUCAUUGACAGAGAAAAAAAUAUCCAACUAACAUUUGCUAACAUGUUCACUAGCACCAGAAUCCUCUUGAAAUACAUUUACAGGGGGCAAAGCUCAAUACAAAUACACGUGCAGCAGCUGAUACACUUCUUUCAGCCUGAGGCUAUGCAACUUUUACAUAUCAAAUAGCAACAAAUGUUAUCUACAGGCUCGUAAGGGGAGGAGCAGUGAGCAAGCUGAGGCAUUUCAAACACUUUCAGAGAUUACUUUGCAAUAAACUGCACAUGGGCUGGCUCACAGCCAGGAGGAAAUCUUUGUGAGCAAUCAGGAGGAGAUGUGGUGCUGCCACGAGACAUUCAGGGCUGGAAAAGCAAUGCUAACUGGUUGUGCUGAAGGAGUCUCAGACCACUGCUGCCACUCAGAUGUGGCCUCUGCAGAGCCCUGCGUGGCUGGGAUGUGGGCUUGGAUCCAGCCUAGGUCACCUGUGUCACCGCGGUGCCUCCCAGAGCAGUGCAAUAGGGUGAAACCAUUUGGACUUCGAGUCCCGUGGAGUACCUUUGGAACUAAUUCACAGCCCAUGAGGCAGAGACCCAUUCACUUUGCCCUGCAUACCAUGGUGCCUGCAUCCAGAGCUCGGAGGUGCAACAGAGGAUGGUGAAAGGCCAGCAGAUAUCAGAAAAGUAGAAAUUUUUUAUAGAACUUCUACUAUCCAUUGGUACGACACGACACGUAUUCAGCACUGCAAGAGCCAGCCCAAGUUGUUUCUGAUGUACCUUCAGACAUCAAAACUGAAAGAUUUUACUUUAAUAACAGAGAGCUUUGGAACCAACUCCUCUCCCUUUGAAUCCAUAACUUGUUCUCACUACACAUGAAGGUUUUCAGUGUAAGUAUAUGAGAUUAUUCAUUUCCCUACAUUCUCCAGCCCCAUUAAAUCUCAACUUUCAUCAUGAUUUUCAAAGACACUUCAAGUCCUUUUCAACAGUUUUGAGAAACUUGCUGGGAGGGAAUGCAUUUCCAAACUAUCUGUUUUCUCAUGAAAACUGAGUUUUGCCUGGAUGCCAGGGUCAGCAGACGUUUUAUAAAUAGGUUGGACAGAUGACAGGAAAUGAUGUAAGGUAUCAGUCCACUCCACAGAGGGCAACUGCCUGUAGUGCCCAGGAAAGAGGGACUCACACCACUGACUGCUACACAGGAAAACAACAACAACAACAACAAAAAACCAAAACAACUGCAGAGAAGCAUCACUUACUGCAGAGGGUUUCAGGUUUGUGAAGCACAAGAUCUCUGCCUCCAUAUUACAGCUCAAGCAAAAAAAAAAAAGUAUUUGCUUGCAACUAUACUACAGUGAAAACCAGGACAAUUAAAUUUUCCUUUGAAGAGGAAAAAUUGAGCAGAAUUGUCUAAACUCGCUUUGUCUUUUACUAAUAAGGAGGAGCUUUCUGCUCCUGACAUGCUCUAAAUGCCAGCAGGCAUUGGAGAUUCUCCAGACUGUGACUGGUGCCAAACACCGGGAUCAUCUUCUUACCCUGGCAUUUACCAUCAGCUUCAGCAAAGUCUUUUCCAAUUCAAACUGCUUUAAAUGGGCUCCAAUUAUAGCUGCUUAGAAGUUAAUCUUUAUCUAUUCAUUUGAUCCCAAUAACUAUCUGCUCCUCUUCGCAAUAUCAGUACAGAUUGGAGAAGCAAUUCACUGUCUCAUUUUGUUUCUGUCAGCCUUCACAAAGGUAAAACUCAACCACUUACUCCCAAAUAAAUGCUUUUGUUGCAAGAGGGGCAAAGUCCACAGCAGAAUUCUCAACAGGUUGAACUUCAGCACGUUAACUGCAGCCUUCCCCCAAGGUGCAGCUCUUCCUAACACCAGCAAGCCCUGCUCACCCCAUUCCUCACCACGCUUUCACACCACCACUGACUGACAGCGCUCUGUGUAACAGCAGGCUACAAGCGCUAGUGAGACACAGUGACCUACCCAGCAGAUGUGCCUGCUGUCUCUCAGUGCUGAGAGCAGCCCGGCUGCAGCGUGCAGAAGAGCUGUCUUUGGAGGAGCACCAAGCACUCGCAUUUGCACACAGCUCCUCUGCCCAGCCACAUCCCCACAACCACCUGCAGUGCCAUCUCAUGCAGAGUCAGCCCCAGGCACACUAGCACGAGGCCUCUGCUGGUGUUUUUCUUUACCAAAGAGUUAACAUUUGAUCCUUCUGGUGGCCCUGCUUUUAGAAGUGGAGAGUUUCUGCUCAUCGUUUGUUACUUAUCUGUUCCCAUGACAGACAAAACAGCCUAGAAGCGCUCCCUACCUAUGGCAGGAAUACGUAAUACACGAUGCGUUUCUUAAGCUUCUGUACUGAGUAAUGACUUUACCAAUGCUGUGAAUUUAUAAAACUCUACAGAACUUGAUUUUUUUGCACUGAAAGCAUUGCAUCUGACUGAAUUUUUGUUAUUUUCGAGAUAUACAGUUAUUAUCUCUAUCAGGCAGUAUUGAAACAGAACCGUCCCAAACCUUUCCUGUUAAAGUCUGUGCAAACAGAAACAGAAUCCAUCUGCCUAUAUGUAAAUUCCAGAAAUUAAAGCAAAUCCAGUCGUUAGUGGUGUUCACACAUGGUGUGUGUGCAUGCAAGAAAGAGUCUGAGAGGAUACAGGAGAAGGUGGGCAAGGCUGUCAGCCUCUGUAGAGCUUAUUGAGAAUACCAGGGCAUGAGAUCCAACUGUCCUUAAUGAUCACCAGCAUAAAAAACAAACAAACAAAAAAGCCCUAGAACUGUAAACCUGGACCUCAUUCUUUUCUGCACUUGUAAAGAAAACCUAUAUACACUAUUUGCUUCCUGACCCUACAAGAAAAAGUGUCUACAUGCCUAUUCAUUGAACAGGCUGUCCACAUAGACAUGUUCUUCUUGUACAGAGCUAAUGCAGACUGCUACACAGAAAUAUCUCCACAGGACUUUCCAGUGCUGAGAAAUCACUGAGAAACAGCCCAAUCACAUCACAUACAAUCAUGUUUGGUACAGAGCUGUUAGAACAAAAACUUAUGAGACACCACAUGCACCUAAAGCUGGAUUUUGUGGCAGGGGGGGAAGAUAUUCUGCCCUCAUUCUUUCUGUUUAAUGAAACAUCGGAGAAGCAUUUAAGGCUCAGCUAAAAUCAAUUACUGAUAAGGCUAUUUUAAUAAACAGAAAUAUUGCUAACCCUUAUCUCAAAUUUCUUCUUAUUGUUUAAUCUGGACACUCCCAAAACAAAGGCAUCUGAGAUCAGCCGAAGAAGGAGAGUUUCAACCUUUGGAUCAGCUCUAAUUGCAAUACUUCAUUCUCAUGAUUGCUGCAAUUCAAUAGACCUUGAUGUCAUAAUAGAAAUUACAUGGCUGCUCUUGCUGUCAUCCAGGGCAAUGUAACUGAGCACAUAUGGACACUGUCUAAUGUUCCUGGCAUCUCACAGUGCCACGAGCCAGGUGAAAGCCCAGUCUCUUUUCCCUUGCACCCAUUUUAACAGAAGACAGGUGCACAAGUCCAUUCAUUCUUUUUCAGCUGCAAGAAAAUAUUUGUGACAAGGCCAGGCUACUCAAUGUGACAUUACACUUGGUCACCCAAAGCAAUGAAGUAUAAGGCUUCAGCCACUGAACAGUGGGAAGACUCUUCCUGGUAGUCUGUCUUGAAUGAGCAGUCCAGAGGGAUGGACUGCAGCCUACAAACCCCUCAUCUUUUCCUUGUUAUUAAGUUCUCCAAAACAGAUAGCCUCUCUAAGCUUUAAAUUGUCUCAGAAAAGACCUACCCUUUAUGCCAAGGAUGGGUGCAAGUCUCACCCCUUGCCACCAGAGUCCAACCAUCCUGACAGGUCUGGACAAAGAGUAUCCUUUGUGCUGCUCCAAAAUCCUUCUUCAAGGGCAACACCAAGGAAGAGCUGACCCUCAGGUUGGCCUGUUACACACACACUGUCUUCAAAAUGCAGUGCCAUAUUCACUAAAAUGAAAUUGCUGUUUUCUGCCCCAGCCCAGCAAAGGUUUCAGAAUGUCAGCUAUUUAUUUUUUCCUGUCAGACUACCCAGGCUGGUAUUUCCACAGCUGCAUGGACUGUCUAAAUGCUUGAGAAAAGUGAGAUUAUAAUGGUCUGUGAUAAUACUCCUGUUUCAAUAAUUAAGGCAAUUCAUUUACUUGGAGAAAAAAUGAUUCAAGGACUGUAUGUACAAUUGCGUUCAAAGUACUACCCUGAACCCAGUGCUUAUCAUCCUUGGUCCAAUGAUACUUGUUAGUAAACAAGACAGAUGUAAUCAUUGCUAGGAGUAAUAGUAAAUCAGUGGCAAGGCUUGAACAGGCCAUUGUCAAGUUGGAAAACUUCAGCCAAGCACAUGCAGUAACUGCUGAAAUCAAAUGAAAAAGCAGAGCAGUAAUUGAAACUUUUGAACCUUUUUACACAGAGGAGCAAGAAAAUUUAUCUUCCUGAUUGCUCUAACGUUUCAGAUAGCAGGAGAACAUGGGAAUAUGGCCUUAAUGUCAGCUAGUAAACUUCUGUGACCUUUCAAGGGAGCUAUAUCUGCCAUGACGAUCGUGGUAAUCAGAACAAGCUCUAUCUGCUCUGACACAGGUUGGCUGCAUGAGCAGAUACCUCUUUUUCUCUCCACAAGUGCUCAGCGCUUUGCUUCAUUCAUUGUACAAGACAGACAGUGCUCACCUGAUUAGCAGUAAUUGGAUACCAGGAAAAAUAAAAUCCAUGUACUGCCCUAUGUCUUAUUCAUCACGUCCUGCCCUGGUCUGAGGACAGAAUCACAGGCGAUUUUUUCACUUUACAGGGCUUAAGGGUUCUGCAAAUAUCCAUUAAUUUUAUUUCUACAAUCUGCAAAGCUACCAGGAUAUCAUCAUUUUCACUAUUUUGAACAGAGUCACAAAGAUCAAUGUCACAGUAACCGUUAAUAGCAGCCAAUUUGAAAUUCCUAGAACUUUCGAAGCAAUCGCUACUUUAUUCUACCGUUCAGGUUUUCAAAGUGAUUGGUACUUCUUUCACCAACUGCAGACCCACAACGUUCUGAAUUUGAGCAUUUGCAGAUAAUUCGAGGCUUUGUCCAGGUUGGACUUCCCCCAGCACCAGAACAUCCCCAUGUGGCUGUGUUUGCACACCCUCCACACCAGCCUCUCCACCCCCUUUCAGCUGCUCCACUGAUUUCCCAUUCAAUUCCCGGUUGCUAUUUGCUUUUCAAAUUCAAGUAAGAUUUGUUACAUUUUUUACAAAGUUUUCUCUCCAACCUAUUCCUUAAAAAUUCCCAACUCAUUCAGUACUCAUUUCUUCUGCAUUUGAGCCAAGCAGCUGCUUCCAGCUUCUUACCCGCAGGAGCCUUUGAAAGCAGCACAUGUGAGGAACGGUCCACUUACAUCAUAUUAAGGUGCCCCAACCCAACAAAACCUGCAGCAGCCCACAGAUACAGUCACAGGAGAAUUCCUAUUUAGAAGUUUUUUCAGCUGGAACACACCCAGUACUGACAGACUGCUUGGGGAAUUUGUCUGCUACCACAUCUAUCCAGCCUACCAAACCUGAGGUCUCCAGUUCAUAUACAUUAAGAGAUUUUCCACAAGGAUAAAACACAGCUUUGAUUCCCGAUUUCAAGAAUGUCCUCCUGUUCUGGAACAGGCAAGGGACUUCUAAAGACUUUGUUCACCUGCUUUAAAAGUAGGGCAAAAUCGAUGCUUUCCUCCAGCUCAGUUCUUGUUAAAUGGCAAAGCAGUUGAGCUAAAUAUUCCAGCAAAGUUCAGAUUUGGAAGCGUACCUGGCACAAAACCUUUCUAUCCAAAGACUUACUUAACAGUCAGUCAAGUUGCAUCUAUCCAAAAAGAGGCAUGUGCUCCCCCAGACUGUGGCAAUGCAGGAGCUCCACGGCCUCACCAGAGCCACGCUGUGCUUUGCCAUGCCACUGCCCUAAAGCUGCUCCCCAUCACUUCUCCCUGUGGCAAAGGAACAGACACACAGCUGCUUCUCCGUACCCAGACCCCUAUCAGGCUGCACUGCACUUCUAGGCAGCCUUUUCCUGACAUGCCCUGGGAGCUUGAAAGCCACUAGUCAUGCUGAGAGUCAGUAUGAGGGCCUUCUCACAUGAGAACAUAUAAGAGCUGAAAAAGAGAGGAUCUGUGUUUCUUUGACCAAAGGAGCACUGGCGGUGCGGAGGUGUGGGGGCACAGAGAGGCUGCGCGCUGCUGCUGGGGGUGUGGAGGGCUCUAUUCCACAGGCCCUAUGAUUCCCUGUUCCACAAAAAUAUUCCAUGAUUCUAUGAACUAAUCUCCAUCGUCAGCUUCUCCAUAACCUCAGCUUUUGGCUGGUUGGAGGGACUGUGCUCAGGGGAUAGGAAGAGAUAGCAAUAAGGCAGCGUUAGCUUGGCUUUCAGGUGGUGACAGCGGCUGUAACUUGUUAUUAUCUCCACAUGACAAGCACUCCAAGACACCCCCACACCAAUCCUAUUAUGAAAAGCUAGAUUUCACAAAGCUGUUUUCCAACAUGUCAUACCCAGGUUUUGUGGCUUCCCCUGACAGUUUCACAAAGACAGGUCACAGCCGAGGAGCACAAGCCGGGGCCUGGCCUGGCCCACAGGCCCUUCCCACAGCCCCGCUCUCUGGCUUUCAUGGCGGCUGUUCCACCUGUCUGUCAUUCAGCAGCAGGUUGGCUCCUGGGGUCUUUACUGAGUGAGGGACAUGAGCAGGAGAUCCCAAAAUGAGACCUGUCCCUCCUGCUCCCCCUGUUCACAUGAGCCACCCUCCGUCACCCCGCAGGGCCUCGCUCGGUGCUGCCGGCAUCACCUGAAGAAAGCACGCAAGUUGCUUGUGACCCUUCAGCAAAAUGCUCACAGUUACGGCAAGCAGAAGCCUAGGAGAUACAUCCCCAAAUUCACCCUUCUGUUCUUUAAACCAGUGUUUAUUUGUGUUGCAGGUGAUGGCAGCCCCCAGUCUACCCUCACUCACUUAUGUUUUCCCACGUGCCGAGAUGAAGCUUUGACACUCCUCUCCCUCUGCAGAGAGAGCACAGCGUUUACAUUUACAGGAACGGAGCUGUGCUUACAUAACGCUUCAGACAAUGCCAAGUCGAAUGACUGACAGAGGAAAAUCUUCUGUUAAAAAUAUAUUUUUCGUCUUUCCCAGAGAUCUAAUCUAUCUUCUGUGCAUUCCUGACCUUCAGAAAGUAUUUCCAUCUCUCACAUUAAGUAUAGCAAUCCUCUUAACAAGGGAACAUUUUGUUAGAGCUUUAAAUUGGGUUACGUAAAUUAUUUGUAGUUCUGACAGCAGGUUUCUCUUCCGUCCACAAGGACGGAUGGCUGUUAGGAGAUUGCUACAAGGUUCAUUUGCAAUCACAGCAAAUAAUCAUCUGAAGGCACUGUUUGGAAUGGGAUCUUACCUAGGGAUACCCGGUACGUUUAGUAAGGUAUAAAAGCUUUUGUAAAAGCAGCAUCUUUGAUAAAUAAUUUGCAGUACAGUAACCUUCACACAAUUUAAAAAACAAAAAAACAACUGAUGUGAAUGGUAAGUUAAAGAAAAAAGAAUAACUUCCAACUCCCAUAAACUUUAGGAGGAACAGAACACAGAUGGGAAAAAAAAUCUAUUUAUCUAUAGAAACAGAGAGAGCACACAGCUCCCUGCCAGCAGUGCUGCCUGGCACCAAGUGCAUGCCAGCCCCUGAGCUUACCCUUGCUGGCUACAAUGGGAAUCGAGAGCGGUCAGGAUUGGGCGCUUUGCAUCCACUCAAGUACUUGCUCAGAAAAAAAGAGCACAGAAUAGAAAAGUUGUUCAAGAAGUACCAGCACUACCUUUAGCACUGCAUUAGAAGGCUCUGCGACUGAAGAAAGAUAUUUUUCAGUACUCUGUUCCCACUCUCCCUUCUCAGCACCUCUCCUGGUCAGAACAUGUGGAAUGGCAGUGCGGCAUCCCUCCUUCCCUCCUGCAGCCACUGUCAGGCUGACUGGGGCACUGAGUUUCUAACAGUUGCUUCAGGAGUGGGAAAAGAAGGGCAUGAUUUAUAAAUCUGGUCACACUCCUUUUUUUUUUUUUUUUUAAGGUUCCCCAUUAAAUUUGUGAGCAGCUUUAAAGAUAAGAGCAACAAACAAAUUAAGCGAUAUUUUAUUCAAAUUGAAAGCGUUUUGUUUGACUUUGGAACACGGAUCGCUUAAGGGGAAAAUUUAAAGUGGGGAUUUUCGGAUCAAAAUACGGACAUUUCAUUUUAAAAUCUCCUGAAGAGUAUCUCAGAUUUUUCUCCCUAAUGACAAGAGCAGUGAGUUACAAUUCAAGGAAGUUUGCGUAAGUUUUCAUACAAUUUUAAGCAUUAGCAAUUGGGAAAGUCCAGGAAAGCUGCUUUCUACACGGCCCUGUUGGCACUAAAUCCCUCCCCAGCAGCAGGCCAGGCACCACCAAAACCAGCCACCCUUUCUGCAGCGUGAAGGCACUACAAGAAGUGACACUUGAGAUGAGAAAGAGCGCGUGGGUUUGUUAAACCACUCACACACACAUAUGCACAAACACAAGAAGCAUUCUAAAGGUGUUCAGCGGAGGAGGACCUUUACUCACAGGACUGAACAUUUUCCCUGUGAUCUCGCUGUGAAUACUUUACCUUGGUGUUUCUAGUCCUACUGAGACAACUCGUAGCGCUGUAUUGCUUUCAUAUCCCCUCCCCUCUUUGAUGCUAAACACUUAUUUUCAGCAGUCUUUACAGAACGUCUCCCUAUUAAUUAGCAGUCCAUCUCAUAACACUUUAUCUACAGAGAAUGCAAUGCGUUAGUACUUCUUGGUACAGCCUUGGUUAUUCCUUUGAAUUAUCUGGAGGCAUUAGCUGACUAAAGUACAAUGAUUUCAUUUGCAUAAAAGACCAUCUAUUGCUAUUUUGGUUAUUCUCAAGAGAGAGCUUUUUAAAUGUUAGGUAGAAAGUUCGAUCUUAAUCCUUUAUAACUUUUCUCUCUAAACAUACAGAUCUCACAGGAGAACACACAGACAUUUAACUUACCAUUAUUGGAGCUAUCUUUUGAAUUCCUCAGUAUCAUUAAUAUUUAAGCAGAAAAGAACAGAGCGAAACAAUUAUCCUAACGACACCACACCAGAACUAACAGAAUGAUUUUUAAGAAGUCAUACAGAACAAGUGAGAAGGUCGACCAGAAAGCGCUAGUCAGGAAUAGCCGCGAUCUGAUGAGGAGGAGGAGGUUAUGUUUCUGUGACACGAGCAGUGCACAGCUGUUACUCUAGUAAUAAUUCAUCAUAUUAAUAUUUAAAUGAGAGGAGGAGGAGGAGGAGGCCAUGAGAUUGUGUGUGACUCAACGGUCCCUCCCUGUCCUUAAGCAGAAAAAUAGGCCACCAAUACGGACAGAGCAUUGGGAGCAACCGAGUGGGAAGGUUUGUUUUCAUUUCCUCUUGAAUAAAAG